rnacentral:rRNA from 1 species
GACGAACGCUGGCGGCGUGCUUAACACAUGCAAGUCGAACGGAAAGGCCCCUUCGGGGGUACUCGAGUGGCGAACGGGUGAGUAACACGUGGGCAAUCUGCCCUGCACUUCGGGAUAAGCCUGGGAAACUGGGUCUAAUACCGGAUAGGACCACUUGGCGCAUGCCUUGUGGUGGAAAGCUUUUGCGGUGUGGGAUGGGCCCGCGGCCUAUCAGCUUGUUGGUGGGGUGAUGGCCUACCAAGGCGACGACGGGUAGCCGGCCUGAGAGGGUGUCCGGCCACACUGGGACUGAGAUACGGCCCAGACUCCUACGGGAGGCAGCAGUGGGGAAUAUUGCACAAUGGGCGCAAGCCUGAUGCAGCGACGCCGCGUGGGGGAUGACGGCCUUCGGGUUGUAAACCUCUUUCAGCAGGGACGAAGCGAAAGUGACGGUACCUGCAGAAGAAGCACCGGCCAACUACG